rnacentral:rRNA from 1 species
AUACGGAGGGUGCAAGCGUUGUUCGGAAUUAUUGGGCGUAAAGCGCGUGUAGGCGGUUGGUUAAGUCUGAUGUGAAAGCCCUGGGCUCAACCCGGGAAGUGCAUUGGAAACUGGCUAACUUGAGUACGGGAGAGGGUAGUGGAAUUUCGAGUGUAGGGGUGAAAUCCGUAGAUAUUCGAAGGAACACCGGUGGCGAAGGCGGCUACCUGGACCGAUACUGACGCUGAGGCACGAAAGCGUGGGUAGC